rnacentral:rRNA from 1 species
CAAAGGUCUGGUCCUGGCCUUAUUAUCAAUUAUAGCUUAACUUACACAUGCAAGUCUCCUCACCCCCGUGAAAACGCCCUCCUCCUCCUAAUAAGAGAAGGAGGAGCUGGUAUCAGGCCCAUACGCCCACGACACCUAGCCCAGCCACACCCCCAAGGGUACUCAGCAGUGAUCAAUAUUGGAAACUAGCGCAAGCUAAAUUCAGUUAUAGCUAAGAAGACCGGUUAAUCUCGUGCCAGCCACCGCGGUUAUACGGGCAGGUUUAAAUUGAUAACUUCGGCACAAAGCGUGGUUAAAUAUUCCUCUUAAUAAAGCAAAAGAAAAGCCAAGCUGUGAUAUGCUCUCGCUUUACGAACCCCAAUUACGAAAGUAGCUUUAACCUUAAUUGAACCCACGAUCGCUAGGGCACAAACUGGGAUUAGAUACCCCACUAUGCCUAGCCCUAAACUUUGACACACUCCGCCUGGGGACUACGAGCGUUAGCUUAAAACCCAAAAGACUUGGCGGUGCCCUAUACCACCUAGAGGAGCCUGUUCUAUAAUCGAUGACCCCCGAUUCACCUCACCAUCUCUUGCCAAUACCGCCUGUAUACCUCCGUCGCCAACUGACCCCACAAGGGACACAGUCAGUAUAAUGGACUACCACCAGUAAGUCAGGUCAAGGUGCAGCGUAUGAAAUGGGAAGCAAUGGGCUACAUUUUCUACCAAUAGACCACACGAAAGAUCACUAUGAAAUCUGAUCGGAAGGCGGAUUUAGCAGUAAAAAGAGACCAGAGAGCUCUUUUUAAGCAGGCUCUAGGGCGCGCACACACCGCCCGUC